rnacentral:rRNA from 1 species
UACAGAGGGUGCAAGCGUUGUUCGGAAUUAUUGGGCGUAAAGGGCGUGUAGGCGGUUUGCUAAGUCAUGUGUGAAAUCCCUCGGCUUAACCGAGGAACGACGCAUGAUACUGGCAAGCUAGAGUACCAAAGAGGGGGGUGGAAUUCCCGGUGUAGCGGUGAAAUGCGUAGAUAUCGAGAGGAACACCAGUGGCGAAGGCGAGUCUCUGGACAUUUCCUGACGCUGAGGCACGAAAGCCAGGGGAGCAAACGGG